AUAAUACUUCCUCCGUCCGAAAAUACUUGUCAGCAAAAAGAAUAAAAAAGGGAUGUAUCUAGAUGUAUUUUAGUUCUAGGUACUUCUCUUUUCAUCCAUUUUGAUGACAAGUAUUUUCGGACGAAGGGAGCACUGG
rfam:Triticum aestivum genome assembly, contig: Triticum_aestivum_CS42_TGACv1_scaffold_031638_1BL